CGUGUGUAUUAUUUUGAUAGAAAGAGAUACGAGGCAUCAAACGUUUGUUCAAGGAGAGAAGAGCGUUUAAUCAAAGACAACACCUUUGUUCAAGUACUACUCUUUGAUAGAUCGAUUCGACGCAGAAAAAAAAAAAAAAGGUUCAUAAUAAUGGCUAAUCAAGAAGAAGUUUUCUUAAGUAUUACCAGGGAAAACUCGUCAAUUCUAAAAGAAGACGUUCAUAAACUGUGAGAUAUCGUUGCCAUGUUCUUGAAUAUGGUGGAAGGCCUAGAGAAUCGGAUGAUGGUCAUUGAACAAAACUCUCAUCGUCAGGAUCGAAAGAAUGAAAAGAACGAGUAUCCUCCUACUCCUUCUUCCCAUCAAGGAUUUAAGGAAAAACUCAAUGCUCCUAAGCCACGGGUAAAACGAACCAUUGAUGAAUACACACCAAUAGGAAUGACUUAUAAUGAAGCUUUCGAUUAUCUCCAUGGUCAAGGUCUCAAUCAUCCCAUUGGUCCAAUCCAAGAUCUAGUACCUGAGAAACGGCUUCCCAAUUGGGAUCCAAACUCAUAUUGCAAAUAUCAUAGAGGCCACGGUCACACCAUCGAAAAGUGCUUCACCCUUAAAAUCACAUUCAAGACUUCAUAGAUUCAAAUUGUCUUCAUGUUCCUUUGAGCAAUAAGAAAGCAAAGAUUAAUAACAAUGGCCCGACAAUGGCAAGAGCAGGAAGAACAACAAUCCUUCUUCCGCUUCUUUCCAUCAAAAUGGCAGUUACAUCGAUGAAAUCUAGGCUCUUGACAAAGAUGUUUUAAAGACCAAGGAACAAGACAAAAAGUUCACCCUAAUUUGAAUAAGCUACAAUAUCGUCUUUGAUCGACUCCAUGCCAAGGGAUCAUCACUCCAAUUGGGCCUAUGCAAGAUCCCCCCUGGAAAGAGAACACCCGAAUGGAAUCCCGACUCCUAUUGCAAGUACCAUCGAGGCAACGACCAUACCACAGAUGAAUGUCACAGGUUUUAAAACCUCAUUCAAGAUCUCAUCAAUGCAAACAAGAUCCCAUCCCCCAGCUGCUGGCAAGAAGACCGAGUUGUGAUAAGCACAAAGCACAAGGUGCGCUUCAAUGACAAAGAUUUCAUGCUUCUUUUCCUAUUUUUGUUUUUCCCCUUCCCCUUAAUAAGUCUAGCAUAGGCACCCUUCAUCUUCCUUAGAGUUAUUUCAUAAGUUUAUCUUCACCCUUUCCAUUUUAAUAAAAUGAGCAUUUAUUUCCUUGCAUAUGACCAUUACAUUGCAUUUUACUUAUUAAAAAAAAAAAAUCAAAAAAUCAUUGCCGAACUAAGCACAAGGUAUGCUAAUGAUUUGAGGCACCCCUUGUUGCCACAUCAUAUUACCUUUACCCUUUUCAUUCAUUACACAAUCCCUUUCUUUAUAAACCACUUUGAGCCCUGUCUAACGAUAUACCUUUUAUUUUUUCAACCCACAUUUACCUACCCUUGGGAUGGGAUGGUGUGUAACUUACGCAAUUAUCAAAGCCAAAUACAAAAGCUUGAGUGACAGUUAUCAAAAUUUUGAAAGUUCAAAAAAAAAAAAAAAAAAAAA